rnacentral:rRNA from 1 species
UAACAGAGAGAGAAGCUUGCUUCUUUGCUGACGAGCGGCGGACGGGUGAGUAAUGCUUGGGAACAUGCCUUGAGGUGGGGGACAACAGUUGGAAACGACUGCUAAUACCGCAUAAUGUCUACGGACCAAAGGGGGCUUCGGCUCUCGCCUUUAGAUUGGCCCAAGUGGGAUUAGCUAGUUGGUGAGGUAAUGGCUCACCAUAGGCGACUAUCCCUAACUGGUUUGAGCAGGAUGAUCAUACCACACUGGGACUGAGACACGGCCAGACUCCUACGGGAGGCAGCAGUGGGGAAUAUUGCACAAUGGGCGCAAGCCUGAUGCAGCCAUGCCGCGUGUGUGAAGAAGGCCUUCGGGUUGUAAAGCACUUUCAGUCAGGAGGAAAGGUUAGCGGUUAAUACCCGUUAGCUGUGACGUUACUGACAGAAGAAGCACCGGCUAACUCCGUGCCAGCAGCCGCGGUAAUACGGAGGGUGCGAGCGUUAAUCGGAAUUACUGGGCGUAAAGCGUACGCAGGCGGUUUGUUAAGCGAGAUGUGAAAGCCCCGGGCUCAACCUGGGAACUGCAUUUCGAACUGGCAAACUAGAGUGUGAUAGAGGGUGGUAGAAUUUCAGGUGUAGCGGUGAAAUGCGUAGAGAUCUGAAGGAAUACCGAUGGCGAAGGCAGCCACCUGGGUCAACACUGACGCUCAUGUACGAAAGCGUGGGGAGCAAACGGGAUUAGAUACCCCGGUAGUCCACGCCGUAAACGAUGUCUACUAGAAGCUCGGAGCCUCGGUUCUGUUUUUCAAAGCUAACGCAUUAAGUAGACCGCCUGGGGAGUACGGCCGCAAGGUUAAAACUCAAAUGAAUUGACGGGGGCCCGCACAAGCGGUGGAGCAUGUGGUUUAAUUCGAUGCAACGCGAAGAACCUUACCUACACUUGACAUACAGAGAACUUACCAGAGAUGGUUUGGUGCCUUCGGG